rnacentral:sRNA from 1 species
GAUACCAGGGUCAAAAGGUCUGCACACACAUGAGCUUGCUCAUGAGUGGGUGUAAAACCUUGGGACCCUCCCCGAUAUGAGCAUGAAAGUGGGAGGAAUAUCCCACGAUAUGCGAAUAUUAGGGAGGAUUGUGGAAGUGCGCAGCACCUAGCAAUCCGUAGGUAUC